rnacentral:lncRNA from 1 species
GAAAAAAUAAGAGAUGGAAAAUGUCAAAUUUACUUGGUCUACAACAAAGAAACCCUUUUAUUUUAUUGCUGUUCUUCAUAUUCAAGUUCACAGACCAGUCCUUCAACAAUGAGAAAAUGUUUAAAUAAAAAAAAUUGUGUAUAAAAAUGUUUUGAUUUGUGUACAUUAAUCUGAAUAAUAAUGACUUUCUUUUAUUUCCAAUUCUACCAAGAAGGACAGAAGAAGCAGCCUACAGUGAAAGACUUGAAGAAAUAUAGGCAAUGUAAGUACGAUUAAGUGAUUUUGCUGCUUGUGGCGUUUCCUCGAAGUAGCUGGUUACCUCCAAAUGGGACGACAGUCAUGGAUGUUGAGAAUGGCCCACGUCGCAGACUCGCGAGGACGGGCGGCCUCGGAUGUUCGCUAGCGGCCUACGACAGCUACAGGCUUUCUGCC